GACGAACGCUGGCGGCGUGCUUAACACAUGCAAGUCGAACGGAAAGGCCCUGCUUUUGUGGGGUGCUCGAGUGGCGAACGGGUGAGUAACACGGGAGUAACCUGCCCUUGACUUUGGGAUAACUUCAGGAAACUGGGGCUAAUACCGGAUAGGAGCUCCUGCUGCAUGGUGGGGGUUGGAAAGUUUCGGCGGUUGGGGAUGGACUCGCGGCUUAUCAGCUUGUUGGUGGGGUAGUGGCUUACCAAGGCUUUGACGGGUAGCCGGCCUGAGAGGGUGACCGGCCACAUUGGGACUGAGAUACGGCCCAGACUCCUACGGGAGGCAGCAGUGGGGAAUAUUGCACAAUGGGCGGAAGCCUGAUGCAGCAACGCCACGUGCGGGAUGACGGCCUUCGGGUUGUAAACCGCUUUCGCCUGUGACGAAGCGUGAGUGACGGUAAUGGGUAAAGAAGCACCGGCUAACUACGUG
rnacentral:rRNA from 1 species